UUAUUUGGUCUAUUUACACAAAUUUAAUCAAUUAAAAAACAUAAAAACUUUUAGCAUUAGCGAAAUAUAUUUAUGAUUGAAAGAGUGUUGCCCCUAAAUGUAGGCAGAACAUUAUGCAAUUUCUUUAAUAAUAGGUCACGUUUUCUUAAAAAGCAUGCUAUGAAAAUAAAUGUCAUGUCAUUUUUUAUAUUGUCAAUUUCUUGAACAAAAUAUCAUUUUAUCCGAACAUUUUCUCAACUUUAUCUGAUAGUAGUGAAAGUGAUGAAAUUAUGAGAACUCCACCGGAGAUUUUAGAAAAAGCUCAAGCUGCCACACAUAAUUUGUUACCGCUCGAAUCCAAAGAAAGAGAAUGUUUCCUUUAUUUCUUAAUUACAGAAAUGGAAAAUGCAUAAAACAGGAAUAAACACAAUCGGUAAUACACCACGUAAAAUUGCUGAAUGUCUUGCAGGAAGUGAUAUGCUAUCAUUAAAACGACUUGGUGGCUGGCAAUCUUCUAAAGUAGCGAAAGGCAUUACGAAUAUCAUAAGCAAUUACCAAUUAUCAAUGUUCGUCUUCUGAUGUACCGAGCAGUACUACAAUUAUAAAUAACCGUUUAUCACCAUUAAAUUAAUAAGGCACAAUCAAUUUACAAUAAUUGUUCAAUUGUUAUUAACAACUAUUAUAAUAAAGUUUAAAAAUUG